AUAGCGUAUAUUAAAGUUGUUGCGGUUAAAAAGCUCGUAGUUGGAUCUCAGUUCCAGACGGGUGGUCCGCCUACCGGUGGUUACUGCCUGUUCUGAACAGCCAGCCGGUUUCUCUUGAUGAUCUUCACCGGUUGUCUUGGGUGACCGGCAAGUUUACUUUGAAAAAAUUAGAGUGCUCAAAGCAGGCGUGACGCCUGAAUAAUGGUGCAUGGAAUAAUGGAAUAGGAUCUCGGUUCUAUUUUGUUGGUUUUCGGAACCCGAGGUAAUGAUUGAGAGGGACAGACGGGGGCAUCCGUAUUGUGACGCUAGAGGUGAAAUUCUUGGACCGUCGCACGACGAACUACAG
rnacentral:rRNA from 1 species